UACGUAGGGUGCGAGCGUUAAUCGGAAUUACUGGGCGUAAAGCGUGCGCAGGCGGCUUCGCAAGUCAGACGUGAAAUCCCCGGGCUUAACCUGGGAAUGGCGUUUGAAACUACGGAGCUGGAGUGUGGCAGAGGGGGGUAGAAUUCCACGUGUAGCGGUGAAAUGCGUAGAUAUGUGGAGGAAUACCGAUGGCGAAGGCGGCCUCCUGGCUUAAUACUGACGCUGAGGUGCGAAAGCGUGGGGAGCAAACAGG
rnacentral:rRNA from 1 species